rnacentral:lncRNA from 1 species
GAAAGUUUGCCCCUCCCUCUUCUUUUUUGUUGGUAAGAAAAAUGAAAAUGAAGGAGGCCGGGGGUAAAUUAAGUUCAAAUAUAUCUGAAAAGCUGUGGACUCUUUGUAAUUUACAAUGUCAACAUUAAACUCAAAAGCUUUAGAACUCAAGAAAAACAACAAUAUGUUAUUAUUCCAGUUUCAUUAACCAGUACCGAUCCCAACUGAAUGCGAAGGUGGAUGCAUGAGUUUGCCUAAUUUUGGUUUCCCAUCUAUACUCUUGAAACCAAUCUAGGGCCUAAUAUCAUAUGCUUGACUCUGAACCCUUAGCGAUGAUGCAGACUUUGAAUACUCUCACACGAUCAAUGAAGAUGUACAUUGACCCCGAGUAAGGGGCCUCCUCAGCAUCUUCCACACACAAUUAGCAGCUGUAGGUCCUUGAGAAUCAUCUAUAUCGAUCACUUCAAAAAGGAGGAAUACGAGUAUGAUGAGUAGUAUCUUGUGAUCUGUCAUAGAACAAACUCAGUCCCCCCAAAUCAAUUGCAUCCAAGACCUUUUGAUCGAUCUGCACAAAACUAGUGCGCUGAGUAACUAACUGGUCCAACGAAACGUUUUGGAUCUCGGUUGGUCGAAAACUAAGUUGGAGGCCGAUUGCAGCCAAUCCGGUUGCAUCCUCUGUUGCUCUUCUUCAAGGAAACUAUAGUGAUUUGCAGGACUUUGUGCAACGCCGUUGCGUAACGUAACAACAGAAUUGUGUUACGUACUGUGCUAUUCUACCAACUUGGUGAUGUACGUUGUCCCCAUGGGGAGCUUUCAUGCAUUGUUUUCCUAUAUACUCUACUAUUAUUACUUGCAUAUUUAGUACGUGCCAUACUCAAACUGCAUAAUGAUUUUGCACUUUGCAAAUGUUGAUGCACAUGGUGGCCUCAAACAUGAGGGGGAGCUUCAUGUGUCUCUAUCGGUUCUAAUAUGCGCAGUGUUAAAUUUGCCUGAGUUUGUUUAUCAGAUAAUGACGCGAUGUUUCUUUUGUUUGGUCUGAAUUUCAUUCGUUUUAUACAAAAAUGUUGAUCAGCAUGGUGGCCUCAAACUUGAGGAGGGGCUUCAUGCG